rnacentral:rRNA from 1 species
GCAACCUGCCCAAAAGAGGGGGAGUAACACUUGGAAACAGGUGCUAAUACCGCAUAACCAUAGUUACCGCAUGGUAACUAUGUAAAAGGUGGCUAUGCUACCGCUUUUGGAUGGGCCCGCGACGCAUUAGCUAGUUGGUGGGGUAAAGGCUUACCAAGGCAAUGAUGCGUAGCCGAACUGAGAGGUUGAUCGGCCACAUUGGGACUGAGACACGGCCCAAACUCCUACGGGAGGCAGCAGUAGGGAAUCUUCCACAAUGGGCGAAAGCCUGAUGGAGCAACGCCGCGUGGGUAAAGAAGGUCUUCGGAUCGUAAAACCCUGUUGUUAGAGAAGAAAGUGCGUGAGAGUAACUGUUCACGUUUCGACGGUAUCUAACCAGAAAGCCACGGCUAACUACGUGCCAGCAGCCGCGGUGAUACGUAGGUGGCAAGCGUUAUCCGGAUUUAUUGGGCGUAAAGAGAACGCAGGCGGUCUUUUAAGUCUGAUGUGAAAGCCCUCGGCUUAACCGGAGUAGUGCAUUGGAAACUGGGAGACUUGAGUGCAGAAGAGGAGAGUGGAACUCCAUGUGUAGCGGUGAAAUGCGUAGAUAUAUGGAAGAACACCAGUGGCGAAAGCGGCUCUCUGGUCUGUAACUGACGCUGAGGUUCGAAAGCGUGGGUAGCAAACAGGAUUAGAUACCCUGGUAGUCCACGCCGUAAACGAUGAAUGCUAAGUGUUGGAGGGUUUCCG